rnacentral:rRNA from 1 species
GAUGAACGCUAGCGGCAGGCUUAAUACAUGCAAGUCGAGGGGCAGCACAGAUAGCAAUAUUGGGUGGCGACCGGCAAACGGGUGCGGAACACGUACACAACCUUCCUUUUAGUGUGGGAUAGCCCAGAGAAAUUUGGAUUAAUACCACAUAGUAUAUUGGAGUGGCAUCACUUUGAUAUUAAAGAUUUAUCGCUAAAAGAUGGGUGUGCAUAUGAUUAGGUAGUUGGUAGAGGUAACGGCUCACCAAGCCUUCGAUCAUUAACUGGUGUGAGAGCACGACCAGUCACACGGGCACUGAGACACGGGCCCGACUCCUACGGGAGGCAGCAGUAAGGAACAUUGGUCAAUGGACGGAAGUCUGAACCAGCCAUGCCGCGUGAAGGAUGACGGCCCUCUGGGUUGUAAACUUCUUUUAUGUGGGACGAAAAAGGGCCAUUUUUGGUCAACUGACGGUACCAUAGGAAUAAGCACCGGCUAACUCCGUGCCAGCAGCCGCCGUAA